AACGAACGCUGGCGGCAGGCUUAACACAUGCAAGUCGAGCGCCCCGCAAGGGGAGCGGCAGGCGGGUGAGUAACGCGUGGGAAUCUACCCAUCUCUACGGAAUAACGCAUGGAAACGUGUGCUAAUAACGUAUACGUCCUUCUGGAGAAAGAUUUAUCGGAGGUGGAUGAGCCCGCGUUGGAUUAGCUAGUUGGUGGGGUAAAGGCCUACCCAGGCGACGAUCCAUAGCUGGUCUGAGAGGAUGAUCAGCCACACUGGGACUGAGACACGGCCCAGACUCCUACGGGAGGCAGCAGUGGGGAAUCUUGGACAAUGGGCGCAAGCCUGAUCCAGCCAUGCCGCGUGAGUGAUGAAGGCCCUAGGGUUGUAAAGCUCUUUCACCGGUGAAGAUAAUGACGGUAACCGGAGAAGAAGCCCCGGCUAACUUCGUGCCAGCAGCCGCCGUAAAAC
rnacentral:rRNA from 1 species